rnacentral:lncRNA from 1 species
UAUAGAUUGUCAAAAUGAUGGUUUUAUUAGCAUAAAUAUAUCAUCAAAACAUUGAUUCAAAACCAUAACAGAAGCAGUCACAUAAAAUACUAAAAAUGUUACAUAAAAAAUGAAAACAGAUUCUAACAAAUACAAAUAGCAUGACGACAGAUCAUUUUAUAAUUUUGUUCAUUGCUUAAAAAAACCUUUGUUGUUGAUAUUCUUUAUCUUGUCAUGGCUGAAGUUUUCAACAAAUGAAAAAGAAAUCAUACCAAACAAUAAGAUAAAUAUAGCACAUACAAUUAUUACUCUAUAUUCAAGAAAUUUCCUUUUGAUAAAAACAUUAUCUUUUUUUCUUCAUUUAAAUGAAAUACAAAACUAAUUUUUAUUCAACAAAUUAUGUGUUUAAUCUUAUUAUUUAUAGCAUGAUGAUAGCUUCCGUCUAUAGAAGAAACACACAUGUUAUUUUGUAACUCAUUAAAUCAUUUCCCUUCUAAAAUUAUUGAUUCUGAAGACUUAAAAAAAACACUCAAAGCACAAACCUUAACUAGAAAAAUCAAAAUGAUGAAGACCCCUCAAAUUUAAGUUUGGUCAUUCAAAAUAGACUCACAAUUUCAGUGUCCCCACAAAAAAAAACUUACUAUUUCAGAUCAUGACUUCCAAAAAAUAUGUUAUUCUAAUUAUAAUACUCAGCACCUUUUAAACAUAUCCUGCAUCUUAUCUGAUGAAUACUAAUAUAAUAACAACAAAUAUUUCUCUUAUUAGCUUGUACAAUAUCAUUUUUAAGUUUCAACCUAAAGUUUCAUUAGGGAAUGAUUAUUCUAAUUCUAUGCAUAUAUUAAAUAUCAUAGAAACUCUGUAUUUGUGAAUAAGGAUAAAUUCUGCUCAGUUAAUGAAAUCUUCUUAAGUAUGCAGCUCUUAAAAAACUUAAAAUUAUUGUGAAAACACAUUUUUGAACACGCAUGUUUAAACAUUUAAAGAUUAACUUUCUAAACAAUCUACUAAUAAGAUUGUCAGUGGUGGGAAGAGAUUUUGAUUUUUCCUAAUUAACAAUUGAUAAUACUAAUAAUAUAAUGAAAUUCAAUAAACAAAAGUGCAUGUCCUAAAAAUUAAAAGCUAAUUGGUAGUGAUCCAUUUAAUAUUUCUGAAUUGAUUUUAUAUUUAUUUUAUCCUGCAAUUACCCCGCUUCCAUGUUGAGCUAGUGGAAAUUUGAAUACUUAUGUUUCCAAACCAUAUCAUUUUGGGGUCCUCUUCGCGGUCCAUGUUUCAACUAUGUCAAUUUCUUUGAGAAAUUAGAGACAAUGAUUUAGAUUUUAAUAACUAAAUUUACAUGUGUUAGGAGUAAUUUCAGGAUUAACACAAUAUAUGUAUAUUGUUAGAAAAUCUGAAAUGUAUUUGUACUCGCUACAAAACAGGAGAAAACCCAGCAGAGCCACGCUUUACGUCCUGUUUCUAAAGCUCAUACAAAUAAAUUUUAUAUUUUCCGACAACAUUCAUAUAUUGUAUAUUUACAUUAACUAUAUGCAGACUGUAAAAUGGAAAUCAAACUCCACUUUACUAAUGGUCGUGUUCUUUAAAAUAGUUAAAUAAUUAAUAUUUAUAUAAUCAUUAGGAUUGCCUGUAAUACUUUCCACUUAAGAGUAUCAAAUAUUAAUUAUAUACAUGUUAUUCAUUUGUAUAUCUAUCUUUUCUUUACUAAUUGUUUGGUUUAACUGAUUUGUAUUCUGAGCUUCAGAGGGACAAAAAUUUCCAUGCUAUGAUGCACAGACCAGGAUAGCACUUUUUCUAUUGGCUAAGGAAGCCAGAGUGCCAGAGAGAACCAACACCCUUCUGUGGGGAAACUAUAAAUUCUUGUCAACUAAACUUGGAGUCUUGCGCACAUGUCACAUGCUGGAUUUGAACUUACAACCUCAGUUUUACAAAAGUUCAACUACUUAUACCAUGCAGUCACUGAGGACUCUGCCUUGAUUUAAGAACAAAACUUACAAUAUAAUUUCUACUAUUCUACACUUAAAAAUGCCACAGGGUUAUAUAUUACAGUAAUGUUCAACAUUUGGAAUUAUUUCAGAUGUGACAAUCACUUCUAAUACAACAUGGAUACUAUAAGUGAGUUAAGUGAAAUUAAAAAAGCAAAAUGAAAAAUAAAAUCUACAUUUACAUCAAAUGGCAUACAAAAUUCCAUAAAUGGCAAAUGAGUUCUAUCAAACAGAAUAAAUGGAAUCUUUAUAUGAAAGCACUAUAAUUCACAAAAUAUAACAAACAUUCUUCUUUUACAAAGACAAAACAAUAACGGUCAAAGGUUAAUUUAUACAUUAUAUUCUUUAGGUUUCUGUUAAAAAACACAUCACACAAAAUACCAUCUUUUUAUCAUGUAUAAUUUAUAUUCUAUUACAAUUCUUUUUUUCCUAUAUAUAGAUCUAUAAGAAGGUUAAACUGAAACUGGUCAGAACUCAAGUUUUAAAUUUGUUUUUGAACUUUUUUAAUGAGUUUUAAGUUAUCAACAGAAUUAUUCCUUUCACAAAGAAUAUAAAUUAUUUAUAACAAUCAGUUGGGGUGAUGGUCCCAUCAUUCAUUACGUUUACACAAAUAAAUACUCUCUAUAUUUACAAUAUUAUAUACAUCAUUAAAAUAUGUGAGUCCUUGGAAGAUAUUUGCUCCCUUCCAUCUCCAAAACAAAAGCAUAAAUACAAAAUCCACUUUUUGUAUGGAUUACCCUUAAUUCACUCUCAGAUCAAUAAUUAAGUAUAUUUCAUGUCCUACACUAGAAACUGUGCAAUUUUGUGGGAUUCUGCUGUAAGUGUUCAUGCAGUUGGGAAUUAACAAAAUGAAGUUAAAAAAGGCCAUGUUUUGAUAUGUCAGAUCUUUAUGUUCAGUAGAAGAUUCUGUUCAAGUUUGAUGGACUUUGUAAAGUUGUUUACAAUGGGCUGGGAAUUAACAAGGACAGGAAAUUACAUAAGAUGACAGACUGGAUACCUGUCAUGCAUACAAUAAAACUCUACCUCACAGUUGGUGAGCCUCAACAAAAUUUGGAUAAAACAAAAAUGUUGAAAGGUGACUGAAAAGUUAUUAAAGUAGUUGUUCAUGAUGACUUCAUAAAAUGAAAUAAAAUGUUUCAUACCUUCCACUAUUGAAAGGUUAAAAUAGAAAAUAUUAUCUUACCUCAUUCAAGUUGAGUUUUUUUUUUAAGGUGAUACAAUUUACACACCACACUUGCUUAAUUUGUGUGAAAACCAUGAAAAAUGGACAUUUUGGCAAUUUGGGUUAUUCCAACACAUAACAUUCUGAUUAUCAGCUCAUGUAGUUUUUUGUAUGCACAUAUUGAGAACAUUGUACAUUUAACCUCAAUUAUAAAAUACGGAAAAAUCUAGCUAACAAUUAUUUUCAAGAAUCCCACCUUGUCUGCUAUUUGGUAUUAGCUAUAACCAGUAGCAGUCAGGGGAGGGUAAUCAUUAUUUCAUCUUUAGGUAUAAAAUAGACAACAAAUUAGUAUGCUUCACUCCAUUUAGUCAUAUACAGUCUGUUUUCCUUACUUAAAUAACACCUCUUUUCAAAAAUCCUGAAUAUGCCCAUGAUAACUAUUUCAGAUCUUAUUAAAAGUUAAUCAAAUAUUGAGGUACAUAGCCAAGUACGAUAAUAGUCAGUCUACUGUAUAAUAUGAGGCAGGCAUUACCUGUAAAUGGGGACGAAGUCUGUAUGAAUUAUUUUUUUGUAACUUAAAUAUUUGUUUAAAAAAAAAGAAACGGAAAUACCGUAACGUUUCCGAUUUUGGUUCUGUUGUUAGGGAUUUAGUUGUGACGUUAUUUAAAUUAUGACGUCAUGUGCAAUGUAAACAAAGAAACGCUAUCAUCAGGUAACGUUUUUUCAUAUCAAGGAAUUAUCAAAAAUGAAAUUGGUAUUGCGCAUUCCUUCCUAUUUUAUACUAGACUGAUAAAUAUAUAUUUUACUCAAAGUUUCAUACAAACGAGACCGGAAAAAGGAAGUACAUUGUACAUUUCUGCGCAGGUCCGGGAUUUCAAAACACGACAAAAAAAAAUUGAACGAUUUUGAAUUCAUUAGUACAAUGAAAAAUUCGGGAAAUUUUCCCGUAUUUUUUUUUAUUGAAUUUUCUGCUGUUAUUGGGGACUCCGUCCCCAUAUAAACAACCUUUAUUAUUGAACACCAUAACAAAGCCCACUUUUAGAAUCUUUUUCUAUUUUUAAAAUAAUAUAGGAUCAAGCCAACCUUUGACAUUAUAUACCUUCAAUAAAUUGAAAUUUGCAUUACUUGGAAAUGUCAAUGCUAUACUCUGCAAAAAUACACAAUUUUAUAAAAAGUUUG